UACGUAGGGUGCAAGCGUUGUCCGGAAUUAUUGGGCGUAAAGAGCUCGUAGGUGGUUUGUCGCGUUGUUCGUGAAAACUCACAGCUUAACUGUGGGCGUGCGGGGCGAUACGGGCAGACUGGAGUACUGCAGGGGAGACUGGAAUUCCUGGUGUAGCGGUGGAAUGCGCAGAUAUCGGGAGGAACACCAGUGGCGAAGGCGGACUACCUGGCCUGUUCUUGACGCUGAGGCGCGAAAGCUAGGGGAGCAAACGGG
rnacentral:rRNA from 1 species